rnacentral:lncRNA from 1 species
AAUGUGUGCUUUGUGAUGUCAAGGACUUCCGUGCUCAAUGCUGUCUCUCCGGCACCUGGAAAAAUGCGUGUACUGUAGCCACACUCAAUAUUUGUUGACUGAAUGAAUCCAUGAAGGGGUAUUUAAAUUAAUUUCUAUUUCUUGGCAGUUAAAGGGAUUGGAGCCACAGAACGUGUGAUAUCAUCAGAAGAAAACUCAGAACAUGGAGCAUGACUCGGAACAGGGGAGCCAUCGUGGGAGGUUCCUUGCCCGACGAUCACACAGUGGAUUGAGAAAGAAAAGAGGAGAAGUGACAGGAAAGAAGAGGCCCCAAAGGAGAUGCUGGGAGGAACUCAGUGGAUAAGCUCUCCAUUUGGCAAGUUUGCCGUGUGCUGCCCUUCUGUGUAAACCCAGCCAGGGAAAGCACCCCCAAAAGCCAGCUGCCAGGGGAGCCUGAGAAAACAGAGGCUGGAGAUAAGAGAAGACUUGGGGCCUUUUACAGCAAGUGCAAACUUUCACACCUGUCAGCAAUAAAUCAAGAGGUUUAUGGGGCUGCAAUAUUUACACUCUAAUUAAAAAAUCAUAAAGCAAGCACCCUUUCAGGUUGUGGAAAACAAAACUACAAAACUUCUACAGCAGCGGCGGUUAAUCAGUGACUCUUAAUGAUCUGCUGCCCAGUACCAACAUGGGGCAUUUAUUCAGCCGCAAACAGCAAACAAGACAGCAGGAGAAGGUGGGACUGGCACCAGAGAUCAGCCUUCGCAGGUGGCCAUGACUUGUGUUUCUGAACCUGUCCAGAGCCGGAGAUGACUGCAGAGAUCUCCUCUGGAGCACUCAGUCUUGAUUUCCAGCCUGACUCCACCAUCUACUGGCCGUGCAACUUUGGACUGGGUUUUUUAAACCUAAUUCCAGACAUCCUGAAAAACUUCAUUUCCUGCUACUCCUCCACGCAUUAGGCAAAAGUUACACAGGAUUCCUCAAAUACUGCAGCAGAUGCUGCCCCAGUACUGGUGAAUGCUGGCAAAUGGCAAAGAAAGAAAGAAGGAAUCUGAAACCCUGCUGACCUCAUGGAGCAGAGCUGUCUACUGGCUCCAGACUGCCCGCCUACAACUGGACAGAGAAAUAAAUACACUGCUGUCUUGUUUGAAUCACUCUAUAUUUCAGCCUCUUUAUUACAACAGCUUAGCUUUAUACCCUAAUAUAUACCUUCCUCUUUCCGGUCUCCAUAUCUUUGUUUCUGCCAUUCUUUCUUCAGGAAAUGUCCUUAACUAUCUAGUGACCAUCUACUUACAUUUGUAGGUCCAGAUCAGGCGAUUCUCCCUCGACUCUGCCAUGUGAGUGCAGAAUUUUUCACAGCUUUGUCUGUGCUCUUAUUAAGUUCUUAUCACAGUGGAUUGUGCAGAGCGUGCUGUGUAAUGUCUUUGCGGUUAGGCUGUUGGGUUUCUCAAGAUGAAGGGAGAUGUCCUUCUAUACCAGAACCUGGGCCCUCCAUAAAUAUUUGUUGGAAGAAUA